rnacentral:rRNA from 1 species
UACAGAGGGGGCAAGCGUUGUUCGGAAUUACUGGGCGUAAAGGGCGCGUAGGCGGCCUGCUAAGUCGAACGUGAAAUCCCUGGGCUCAACCCAGGAACUGCGUCCGAUACUGGUUGGCUUGAAUCCGGGAGAGGGAUGUGGAAUUCCAGGUGUAGCGGUGAAAUGCGUAGAUAUCUGGAGGAACACCGGUGGCGAAGGCGACAUCUGGCCCGAUACUGACGCUAAAGCGCGAAAGCUAGGGGAGCAAACGGG